rnacentral:rRNA from 1 species
GAUCGCUAGUAAUCGUGGAUCAGAAUGGCACGGUGAAUACGUUCCCGGGCCUUGUACACACCGCCCGUCACACCAUGGGAGUGGACUGCACCAGAAGUGGUUAGCCUAACUUCGGAGGGCGAUCACCACGGUGUGGUUCAUGACUGGGGUGAAGUCGUAACAAGGUAGCCGUAGGGGAACCUGCGGCUGGAUCACCUCCUUA